rnacentral:misc_RNA from 1 species
GUGAAUCAUCGAAUUUUUGAACGCAAAUUGCACUUUCUGGUAUUCCGAAAAGUAUGCCUGUUUGAGGGUCAGUUAAAUAAAAAUCGGUGUUGUUGCUGCCCUUCGUGGUGACGCGUCGGAAUUGGAUCGUCUUACCUUCGGUUAAGUUACUUAAAAUAUGUGCAUGGUUUUCGUACGGAUUUAAAUGGAUUAAGUAUGUUUGAGAUAUCGAAUGCACAUUAGGGUAGGUCAUUUCAAUAAUUGG